UACGAAGGGGGCUAGCGUUGCUCGGCAUCACUGGGCGUAAAGCGCACGUAGGCGGAUUGCUAAGUCAGGGGUGAAAUCCUGGAGCUCAACUCCAGAACUGCCUUUGAUACUGGCAAUCUCGAGUCCGGGAGAGGUGAGUGGAACUGCGAGUGUAGAGGUGAAAUUCGUAGAUAUUCGCAAGAACACCAGUGGCGAAGGCGGCUCACUGGCCCGGUACUGACGCUGAGGUGCGAAAGCGUGGGGAGCAAACAGG
rnacentral:rRNA from 1 species